ACCCUCAAGUUGAUUAGCUUGUCCAUACCUUCAGGAAACAACAUACCUUUAGGAUACAAAGUGGGCAGCCUUGAUCGCGAAACAUCCAACACUUGUAGAUAGUAAAGCCGAUAGAUUGAUGAAGGUGCUGUCUUAGGAGUCUCAGCAAAUGCUAAAUAUCGUAGAUGAAUCAACUUGCCCGCAGCUUUAGGUAACUGUUCCAUCUUACAUUCGGUUAGAUCCAGCACUCUUAUGCUUCUCAGCUGUUUGAAAACAUCACUACCGAUAGAAUGAUUGUAGGAAAAGAAUACAAGCGUGCGCAAGUUCUUCAAGUCGCAUAUGCUCGUAAGCUGCAGCAGAGCGUCGGUGUUGAUCGACAAGUGGCGUACGGUUGACGGGAUUUCUCGCACAUUAUCACUUUCGAUUCUAAAGCACUCCUCCUUCGAAACAGAUUGAGCCAAUUCAUGUAUCAUGUCAUGCAUGACAUAAUAAUUGCCAUUGUGAUCCUUGAGCUUCUGAAAAAAAGAUCUCGACAAUAAGUCGUCAAAGUAGAUCCUCCCAAUGUCUUCCAUCCUCAUACUUCUCCCUUCUUGAGGCCGAAGCAAGCCUUGCGCCAUCCACAUGUAAACUAGCUUGUCAGGUUCGAUCCUCCAAUCUUCAGGAAAGAUACUGCUGUACGCAAAGCAUGGCUGCAGGUGGGGUGGCAGAUUCUGGUAGCUUAAAUUGAGAACAGGCAUGAUGCCAUUCCAAACAUUGCUUCUCAAAACAUUCUUCCACUUCUCAACAUUCAUGUCCGCAUUCAGCAUCCCCCCCACCACCUUCGCCCCGAGAGGAGAUCCCUUUAGCCUCUUCGCUAUUUCCCAGCCUACUUCUUGGAGCUCCGGAUAGUCGUCGGCGCACGCGGAGCGAAAGGCGUGCCGCUUAAAGAGCAACCAGUAAUCAUCUCCUUCUAGCCCCUUCAGAUGGAUCGAAUCUCCUGCGUCGAGCAUUCUCGACACUAUUUCCAAACGCGUGGUCACAAUGAUCUUGCUCCCCGUACCCCCGAAUCUUAGCGGCGCAAGCAGUUUCAUCCAUCGGUCUCUAUUCUCCCACUCCUCGAUCCCCUCGUCAUUCCAAACAUCAUCUAAGACUAGAAGGAACCUCUUCGUUUCUACACUCUUCUGGAGCUGUUCUUGAAGCUUGUUGAGAUUAAAGCUCGCCGAGUCAUUGCCAAGAUCGUCGCACGCCAACGAGAGGAUCUCCCUGGUAAGUCUGAGCUCAUUGAAAUUCGCCGAGACGCAAACCCACAUACGCAGCUCGAAACGGUCCGCCACUUUUGUUUCGUUGUAGAUCGACUGCGCAAGCGUAGUCUUACCGACCCCUCCGUCUCCGACCACCGAGAGAAGAAUUUCAGACUGAUCGCCAGAUUCAAGAAGCCAUUGCAGUAUCCUCCCGCGCUCCUCUUUUCGGCCGAAAAAUUGGUUUUCAAGAGGGAACGCGCUAGUAGGACGCUGCUGCGGCGCACUUGCAACACCGCUGCUACUACCUGUCGUAACUGUCGCACCAACAAUAUCGAGGAACGCCUGCGCGCAGUCCUUAACUUUAUCCAGUUUACUCAACACUUUCUUCAGCUUAUUUCUGAAACUUAUGCCGACAGGCGAGAAGAAGGCAGAAGGGAGGCUCACCUUGUAUCCAGAAUUCACUUCGGAUUGAAGGAGAAGGUAGCCGAACUCGUCGAGCAAGUCCUCAGCCUCGUAAACGGCGUCCUUCAUCUGGCGGAGCAGCGCGAGGUGGUCUUUGUUAUGGGUGGCGGGCAGCGACUCGGCCGUGGAGACGACGGCGAGGAUUUGAGUAAGGACGGUCUCCAGCAUGUAAAGCUCCCCCUCCACUGCCGAUCGCCAAGGCAAGCGGCUUUCUAUGUAGGAUCUCGCCGUGUCAAUCAUUGCUUUGAUGAUCGGAGAUGCAACCCAUCCUACUACGACGCCUAACUCCGCCAUAUAGUCGACAAGUAAAAUAUAUGUAUUGGAGAGUGCUAGUAACGGUCGACGAGAAAGAAGUAGAUCUAGGAGGAAGAUGAGCCAAGUAAAGGGAUGAAAUAAUUUUAUAUGCAAAGAAUAGAACAAAGAAAUGAAGAUUCUUUAACUAUGGAAAAAAUCCCCUCCCAAAUACAUUGGUUGAUCAUCAUUUCAUUAAAUAUAAAUGACAGAAAGAGGGACCAGGUCACUGAGCCACUUUUCUUGACCUUUUGCCAAGAUAAAGUCCACAAAAGUAGCAUCACACACUUCCAAUGUUUAGGUGGACUGUCUGCUCUAGAUAACAGUCGGCAAAAUUAAUUACUUUGUUCAGAUUCUAUCUUCUAUAAUUAAUUACUUUGUUCAGAUUCCAUCCAGACUGAAGUCUAUUAUGAACUUCUGGAAAAUAUGAAGUUAUACGCGACAAGACAUUUAUAGCUGAAAAUAAUUUCACCCCUCCCCACUUUCGGCAAAACAUAGAUGCUCACAACGAAACUAACAAAGCAAAAUGAGACGAUCAACAUUUACGCUGAAGAGUUUAAACAUCAUUUAUUUUAAAGCAACUCUCAAAGCAUGUUUGGUUCAUAAUUGAAAUAGAAAUGAUAAAUGAAAUUAAAUUUGAAAAAUAAAAUGAUGAAUUAUUUAAAAAUAUUUUAUUUAUUAUUAAAAUAAAAAUCGAAAUGAAUAUCUAAAAUUUUGAGUAUGUUUUAGUUAAGAAAAAGGAGAGAAACGAGAGCGAGAAAGGAGAUAUGCCUUUAUAAGAGAAGAUUUUAAAUGAUUUACUUUGAAUCGACUAAUCUAGAAUUUAAAGUCGGAUUGGACCAUAAACAUCAUUCUCACUCUAGAGUGAAAUAAAAAUUGAAAUCUUAUUUCUGUAAAACAAACAACAACUAUUCAAAUCAAUGAAUCUCAUUACGAUUCCAGUCUAAAUACGUGGACCAAACAAGCUUUCAGUUUCUGCCCAAGAGGUUUUAAGAUUGCAGCUCAGCUCCAUCAAAAACCAAUGCCAGAACCCGAAACCACACCAAAUUUAAAAUAUAAAAACAAAAAUAAAAAAGAAUAAAAAGGAAAAAGGAAAUCCACUGCUAAAAAUGGAGCCAUACAAUAACACCACUCGGAAAGUAAACAACUUGCACAGCAAAAACUCCGAAUAACUUGAAUAGAACAACCAGAAACUGCUUCAAAGAACAGCAGAGAAGAUAAAUACGCAGCUCAACCAAUGAAUCAUCUUAAGAAAAUUUGCAACAAAGAUUCCAAGAUCGAAAGACAAAUCAUCACAUCACAGCCUUAGCAUACCAUCAGAUACUGACAUCAGAAAUGCUAGGCAUAGUUCGAUAUUGAAACUUGAUUCACAUCAUUUUCACACCAAAAAUAUCAAUUACAGAUGAAGAAAACCAUGAAACAUGUCAAAUGCAACCGGAAAAGCACGAAAAAAAAAAAGAAGAAAAAAAGUAUGCAGUUUAAUAAAACAUUGAAUCGAAUAUACAACAUAACCUGACAAUAUACUUGAAACACCAUCACAUCCUCGUGGAGAGGCACCUGCACAUGUUCUACUUGCUAUAUUUUCAUUAAAUCCGACAUCAUCACAACUUUCUCACUAAGGCAUAUGUUUUGGCUGGAACUUCGAAAAACAGCUCAAAGGAAAAAGAAAGGGAAAAAAAAAAAAAAAAAAAACACCACCUUCGAAUUCGAAUUUCACGACUUUUCCUCCAAAACAUAUAUAAUUCAAGUUGCAUGUAAAUUGUGGUUAAUUAUCAAGCAACAAAACACAACUCGAAUGAAAGACAUGGAUUCUUUUGCCUUUUCAAUCUUUUCCAAGCGACGUGGCUCACGUUUGCCGCAAAAUCUUUACUAAUUACCCAAAACCCUCUCAUUUUAACCCCACUUACACUUUCUCGCCACAUACUUGGCUCAGCUCACUCUUGUAGACGAUCUCGAUAUUAUAUGCUAUCCAACGUUCCUUCUGCCCUGAACAAAAGCUGGUUCCAUUAAGAGCAGAUGCCUUCAUUCUUAAUCCUAUCUUUCCACGGUGCAGCCAUUCAUCCUUCUUAAUACUCAUAUGAGCAUGCUGCUUCUAAACAACAACACCAACAACAGUGACAUGAAUAACCAUCUAUAAUUGGGCGGAAUAAAUAAGAAACAUCGAUCUACAAACAUUCUUGCAAUCCAACUUAAUCCAUCUAACAUUAACCUGUUCAGCACAAUCGUCACUCUCGCAAUCAUUUUUCAUAAUCAAGCAAUGAUACUAAAAAUGCUCCAUCUCACCAAUCUUUCUUAAGCCCCAUAACUCCUAAUUGUUAUUCUAUAAUAUUAUUGAGAAGUCUUAUAGCAUUCCACUUUGUCGUUACAAUUGAUUAAACUUCCUGUGAUUUAGAGUACAACGGUUGUUUCACAUGGUAUCAGAGCAGGAGGUCCUGAGUUCGAGUCACGUCUGGGCUCGAGACUUUUUAAUUGGCCUAUGACGUGGGCUUGAAUUAAAUGGAAGGAAAUUAAUAUGCUAGGAGCCUGGCGUGACUCGAACUCAGGACCUCCAGCUCUGAUACCAUGUGAAACAACCGUUGUACUCUAAAAGCUUAAGCUUUCAGAGUACAACGGGUGUUUCACACUAACUGAUUCACCAUCAUCUCUCCUUACAACAAUCCCAGAUCUUAGAGUCCCUUUGAUAGUUCAGUGAUAAUCUGGGUGCAUAUUCUAAAUCCAUUGUAAGUUCAUGAUUCAAUUCAUCAAGUUCAAUUGUUUUUUCUCAGCAAGUAACGCAAUCUUCCCAAAUCCCAAAUGAAACCCUAAUUUUCAUGAAACCGAACGCGCAAAAAUAACUAGAAAAAAAGCUAUGCAUUACGGAAAACUUUUUCUUCGAGAAUUUUUUUUUUCAUGAUUUUCCAAGUCGCGGUAUCGAGAUAGUACAGGGACUAUCUCAUACAUUUCACCCUUAAAUUUCUAACCACAAAUAAAAAACAAAAAAGAAAAAAAUAAAAAACUUAAAAAAACCCUAAUUUUGUUGCUAAUUAACCACCCUAAAUAAAUAAAUUAAUUAAUAAUAACCUAAUUAAUUAGCUAACUAUUUUUAGCAAACACAUACACACAUGCAGCCACUAUAAAACCUGGCCUCCACCCCUCUCCUUUUCCCCUCAAGCCUGCAGUUAGAUUGAGGUCCAGUCUUCCCUCACCAAUAAAAUUCCGAAACCGCAAUAAAGUGCAGGCUUCCGCGGUCUCAGUCCGGUCGACGCAUAUAAAUAUAUUUUUUUAUAUCGCGAUGGAGAUGAAGAAGAUCGCCUGCGCCGCUCUCGUCGCCGCCGCAUCCGCCACCGCCGCUCUCGCCAACGACGCGGCGGCAGCUCCCGCGCCUGGACCCGCCAGCGGAGCCCUCGCGGCCGCCCCCGCCGUCGGCACCGUCGUCGGCGCCGCCCUCCUCUCCUUCCUUGCUUACUGCUUGCACUGAAAUUCCCCUCGAUCUCUCCUGAGCCCUGAUCACCAUGAGAGAGAAAUUAAUGUAUGGAGGAGAGAGAGAGAGAGAGGUUAUGAUGAGAGUUUAAUUAGCUUAUUAUGAAGUAAUGAUGCAUGUACUUAAAAUGAUUGGAUAAUUAAUGAUUGAUUAAUUUAUUAAUUAAUUUAUCUCUAUUUGGUUUUUUUUUUUUUUUCUUGAUCAUUUGGUUCUAGAAAGAAUUAGCGUUUUUGGGAAGUUUUUCUCUAAAUUUCAUGAAAAAAUAGAGUUUACUUUUUCCAAAUCUUUUUUUAAAGAAAAACGAAAAAAAACUAGUUUUUCAUAAAAUCUGAAAAAAAAAUCUAAUUUUUUUUUAAAAAAAUAAUGGUCGGAAAACUGGAAAAAAAAUUUUCCGUAGAACUUUUUUUUUCUUGAAAACUUAUUUCCAUAUUUUCCUGAGAACCAGAGAAUCUCUUAAUUAUUUCUUGAGUAAAUUACAAUUUUGGUCCUCAAACUAUGAGAUACUCGACACUUUAGUUCUUAAAUUUUAAUUUGUACCCUUUUGGGUCGAACUUUUUAAAUUAUUGUAAUUAAGUCUCAUUGCCAAUUUAAUUUACUAUAUGCGGACAUGCCGCUAACAUAAAAAUGAUAUGACGGUGUUAUAAUGGAUGAUACAGUAAUGAUUAAGACGCCAUAAUAGGACAUCAUCAAUAUGUUAAUAUUUAGUCAUCUGAAUUGGUUUGUUGGAAUUGAUUAUAAAAUUUGGAAAGUACGAGCCCAAGAGUUGCUAAAAAUUAAAGUUUGAGGAGUUAAGGGUCAUGCACCUCAUAGUUUAAGGACCUAAAUUGUGAUUUACCCUUAUUUCUUCUUUCUCUGAAUUAGUCCAUUCGUUGUGUUUAUUUUAAAAUACAAAUUUCAAAACCCAAAAUAGGACCUAAUCUCACAUCCAAAUCCCUUAAAUUGUGACUGGACAUAUUAAUUCCAUUUGAUCGUAGGUAGGAAUGCAAAUGAAUCUGGAUUGGUGGAGCUCCCGCACUGAUUCACUCCGAAUGGGGAGGUUCGUCCUAAUCUGCCAAGUAAAAUAGAGCGGAGGGCAUGAGACUCUCUUCUUUCUUUAAUCCGAUCCGAUCCGGCAAAAAAUAAUCAAAACCAUGCUUCUAUCGCAAUCCGCUUCCCGCAUCCGUCCCAAUCCGCUCCGAAUAGAGUAGUAUAGUAAGCGGAUGUCAAAAAUAUGAUUAAAAUUAACCCGCUCUGAUUCCACCUAGACCCGACAAGAAAUGAAGUGCAUUGGUUUCUCUCGGCUAUGGUUUAAGUGUCAAUAGGGGCGUAAAAUGGGCCAACUAUUCUAAAUUUUUUUAAAAAAUUUUAAAUUAAAUCUUCUAUUAUUUUACAAACAUUUUUAUAAAUGUUUAAAAAGUAGUAUUUUGACCUUUUACUAUUUUAAGCUUUUAUGAUUUUUUUUAAAAAAAAUAAAAGGGCUGGCCCGGCCCGACACAACCUAUAUCAUCCGGGCCAGGGUCAGUGCGAGGCCGCAAAUCCUUGAAAUCCGUGCCGGUCCACCCCUGGGCCCGUUUCAGCUCGGGGGAAUGUGGGCCAUGCCCGCCGACGUAGCCUGCAUCAUACCCCUCCAAAUCAUGUUAAAUUAUAAAAAUAGAGUAGAGCUACUGUGCGAUCGAAAGUAUAGAGAAUCAAGUACUUUUUUUAUUUUUUAGCCCUUAGAUCAACUUCUGUGAUUAUUUCUAAUCUUUGGAUUAAUAUUAUUAUCCUAUGGGGACCACUCAACCCUAGAGGGGACCGCAAUCAUCCCAACCGUACAAUUCUUGAUCGAAAGGCAAAAAUGUUGGAAGCGCCAGGUCCUCUAUACUUCCGAUAGUAUAGUAGCUUUACACAUAAAAAUAUAAAAACGCCAUUAUCUACUAGCUUAAGGCUUCGUUUGGAAUUGCAGAAAAAUUGUGUUACGUGCGGUAAGAAAAUAUGAUAAAAAAAAUAUAUUGUUUAUUUCCGUAAGUAAUAUUGUGUUCCGCAUAUCGCGAUGAGCCGGUUACGAUAUAUUUUUUGCGAUCCCACCGGAGAACGCAGAAAUAUAUCCCUAUAUAUUUUUACCCCAACUCUAUUUUAUCUAAUAGCGUCAGAUGGAUCUCAAUACCAAACUAAACCUAAUUUUUUUAAAAAAAUACGAUUGUUUCGUAUAAUUUAAUAUAAUAUCAGAGCAUGAGAUACUAAGUUUAUAAUCAAGCUAGACUCCCAGCAUAAUCGACUUCCUUCUAUUUAAUUCAAGUCUAUAUCGUAUGCCUGUCAAAAAGUUUCAAGCCAGACUCGGAGAGUAGGUCUAAAUAUUAAAAUAUAAGAACACCAUUCUCUACAAACUUACACUUUUAGAGAACAUAGUUUUUUUCGUGUAAUUUAAUAAAUCACACCUUUAACGCGUGAAUGUGGUGAAUAUACUCGAAACUUCUAAGAACAAAAGAGAAAACUAAAUUAAUUUCGAAUGAUAAAUCUAUUCAGUUUUGGCACACUCAAUACUUUUUCACUUCCUGCUGUAUAAAUUGCUUAUUUAAUAGGUUGUUUGGAUAUCUAACAUAAUGAAUAAUACAUAAAAAAAAUUAGUCUAAUCACUAUGAGUGUGCUAAAAGUACACAAUGACUAUUAUUACCAUGAGAUAGUACAUGGUUUCAAAAUUGAAAUGCCAUCACAAGGUGCAUGUUUGGUUUCUUAGACACAAUUAUAUGAAAUCGUGCAAAAGCCACUCAGAAACCUGAAAAGAGAAGACAGUGAGCUGCACAAUUGAAAGAAAUAAACUUGCAGAGGGCAGACGGUUGAAGAGAUGUUCGGAACCAUAUCCAACUCGAUAUCCUUCCUUCUUGGAUCUGCUUUUUGAAUCCUCAAAAGGGCAAUACGAAGCCGUCGUCAUUCAAUAUAUGCCCCAACUUGGGAUGAAAUGCUUGAUAGAUCAGCAAGCUUGGGGCAACUUAGGAUCCUCACAAAUCUUCGGCGUGUUAGGGCAGUCAAUCCUACAGCAGAUGUCAAUUCCUGACAAUCAAAUAUGUCCAGUUUUGCAAGCAUGGUUAGGCGGCGAAAGACCGUCGCAGGGGGGAGUGAUACAAUGCUGUUACAGUGAUAUAUGCGCAAGGCAGAAAGACAGGUGAGGUUUUGCAAACAUACAGACAGUGAAUUGUUGUUAACGCCGCAGGAAUCGAGCUCUAAUGACUCGAGCACAGAGGGUAAAAUAACCUGACCAUUUUCUUCGUCAUUGUUAGUGGACUCGAGAAGCCGAGGACAGUGAGCAACUGCCAGCUCUUGCAAGGAGGAGAGAUUUGAUAACCCGCCAAGCGACGUCAGGGCCUGGCAGGACUGCAUUCUUAACUGCUUCAGCGCUGUCAGGUGGCGCAUCACUUGUUUCGACGGAAGAGUCGUAAUUUGGCGGCACUCUUUUAUCUCUAAUGUGGAAAGAGAGGCGAGGUUCUGGAGACAAUUUGACAAUGAUGCAUCGGUAAGGCCGCAACGCACAAUUCUGAGAGACGCUAGCGAUGCCGGCAGAAAACCUCUGUCGUAAUUGUCCUCUCCGAUGAUCAUAGAUGCCAGCAGCUUUGGGCAAUCCAUCAAUUCGAGCUCUUUCAGGGAAGUAAGCGCAUGUAGCCCGCCUAGCGACGCCAAAUUUUCGCACCACUUAAUGUACAGUUCUUUCAGUGUAGUUAGAUGAUGCAAAACUGAUGCCGAAGGCAGGGAUAUAAGUCGAUGGCAACAACUUAUCUCCAGACUGGAGAGGCGAAUCAAGGUUUGCAUGCACGACGAGAAUGCCUCGUCCGUUAGCUUCGGGCAUUUCUCAAUUUGAACACCACAUAGAGAAGGAAACGCUCGAUAUUCUUUAGCUCGGGACCACUCGACCAACUCCGGCAUGCCUUCAAAUCUUAAGCGUUCCAGUAAUGGGAAUCCAUUAAGGCUGCCGUUCGCAUAGAACUCGAAGCUGAUUUUUUUCACCACACACAUCCACCUAAUUUCCAAAAAUUUGAGACUCUGCAGCCGUCCGAGAGGGGGGAGAGAUAUCCAAGAUCCGCAGCAACUCAGAGUCAAGGAUUGCAGAUGCGACAACCAAUUUGUCUCUAGCCAUGUCGGAGACCUGAUACCUGAGCAACUUAUGAUUUUUAGAUCUUCGAGAUUCGGAUGCGGCUGGAGGCCCUCGAGAAUUUGAUCAUCUUUACUUCUCGGCUCCUCAGAGUAGCACCAUUCUAACCUCAAUUUCUUGAUGUACUCCUUCCGGUUCAAUUUCGCUUCAGUGGCCUCUUGCAUGCUAUCCACAUUCUCAAGAUUCUUGAUCCUAAGUGAUCCCUGAAGUUCAUUCAUGUUCUGCAGCUCGACUAUCUUACGGCCCUUCUUCUUUGAAGGACGAAAUCCGGCUAAACCUUGCAAACUGGUCAGUUUCCCAAUUCUAGCUAUCUGCGACGCGAAUGCCUCGUGAACACUUAAAACCCUCAAGUUGAUUAGCUUGUCCAUACCUUCAGGAGACCAAGUGGGCAGCCACGAUCGCGAAACAUCCAACACUUGUAGAUUGUAAAGCUGAUAGAAUGACGAAGGCACUGUCUUAAGAGUCUCAGCAAAUGCUAAAUAUCGUAGAUGAAUCAACUCGCCCGCAGCUUUAGGUAACUGUUCCAUCUCACAUCCAGUUAGAUCCAGCACUCUUAUGCUUCUCAGCUGUUU
rnacentral:lncRNA from 1 species